rnacentral:rRNA from 1 species
CAUGGCUCAGAUUGAACGCUGGCGGUAUGCUUAACACAUGCAAGUCGAACGGUAGCAGGCCUUCGGGCGCUGACGAGUGGCGGACGGGUGAGUAACGCGUAGGAAUCUGCCUCAUAGUGGGGGACAACGUGGGGAAACUCACGCUAAUACCGCAUACGCCCUACGGGGGAAAGCGGGGAUCUUCGGACCUCGCGCUAUGAGAUGAGCCUGCGUUAGAUUAGCUAGUUGGUAGGGUAAAGGCCUACCAAGGCGACGAUCUAUAGCUGGUCUGAGAGGACGAUCAGCCACACUGGGACUGAGACACGGCCCAGACUCCUACGGGAGGCAGCAGUGGGGAAUAUUGGACAAUGGGCGCAAGCCUGAUCCAGCAAUACCGCGUGUGUGAAGAAGGCCUUAGGGUUGUAAAGCACUUUCAAUUGGGUAGGAAAAACCUGUCGGUCAAUACCGGCAGCUUGACAUUACCUUUAGAAGAAGCACCGGCCGUAACUACCGUGCCAGCAGCCGCGGUAA